rnacentral:rRNA from 1 species
UUGCAGUUGAUACUGGAUGUCUGAAGUGCAGUUGAGGCAGGCGGAAUUCGUGGUGUAGCGGUGAAAUGCUUAGAUAUCACGAAGAACUCCGAUUGCGAAGGCAGCCUGCUAAGCUGCAACUGACAUUGAGGCUCGAAAGUGUGGGUAUCAAACAGGAUUAGAUACCCUGGUAGUCCACACGGUAAACGAUGAAUACUCGCUGUUUGCGAUAUACGGCAAGCGGCCAAGCGAAAGCGUUAAGUAUUCCACCUGGGGAGUACGCCGGCAACGGUGAAACUCAAAGGAAUUGACGGGGGCCCGCACAAGCGGAGGAACAUGUGGUUUAAUUCGAUGAUACGCGAGGAACCUUACCCGGGCUUAAAUUGCACUCGAAUGAUCCGGAAACGGUUCAGCUAGCAAUAGCGAGUGUGAAGGUGCUGCAUGGUUGUCGUCAGCUCGUGCCGUGAGGUGUCGGCUUAAGUGCCAUAACGAGCGCAACCCUUGUUGUCAGUUACUAACAGGUGAUGCUGAGGACUCUGACAAGACUGCCAUCGUAAGAUGUGAGGAAGGUGGGGAUGACGUCAAAUCAGCACGGCCCUUACGUCCGGGGCUACACACGUGUUACAAUGGGGGGUACAGAGGGCCGCUACCACGCGAGUGGAUGCCAAUCCCUAAAACCCCUCUCAGUUCGGACUGGAGUCUGCAACCCGACUCCACGAAGCUGGAUUCGCUAGUAAUCGCGCAUCAGCCACGGCGCGGUGAAUACGUUCCCGGGCCUUGUACACACCGCCCGUCAAGCCAUGGGAGCCGGGGGUACCUGAAGUGCGUAACCGCGAGGAUCGCCCUAGGGUAAAACUG